rnacentral:rRNA from 1 species
UACGUAGGGGGCAAGCGUUGUCCGGAUUUAUGGGCGUAAAGCGCGUGUAGGCGGCCUGGAAGGUCCGUUGUGAAAACCCGAGGCUCAACCUCGAGACGUCGAUGGAAACCCCCAGGCUAGAGUCCGGAAGAGGAGAGUGGAAUUCCCCGGUGUAGCGGUGAAAUGCGCAGAUAUCAGGAGGAACACCGAUGGCGAAGGCAGCUCGCUGGGACGGU